UAGGGAAUCUUCGGCAAUGGACGAAAGUCUGACCGAGCAACGCCGCGUGAGUGAAGAAGGUUUUCGGAUCGUAAAACUCUGUUGUUAGAGAAGAACAAGGACGUUAGUAACUGAACGUCCCCUGACGGUAUCUAACCAGAAAGCCACGGCUAACUACGUGCCAGCAGCCGCGGUAAUACGUAGGUGGCAAGCGUUGUCCGGAUUUAUUGGGCGUAAAGCGAGCGCAGGCGGUUUCUUAAGUCUGAUGUGAUAGCCCCCGGCUCAACCGGGGAGGGUCAUUGGAAACUGGGAGACUUGAGUGCAGAAGAGGAGAGUGGAAUUCCAUGUGUAGCGGUGAAAUGCGUAGAUAUAUGGAGGAACACCAGUGGCGAAGGCGGCUCUCUGGUCUGUAACUGACGCUGAGGCUCGAAAGCGUGGGGAGCAAACAGG
rnacentral:rRNA from 2 species